GAAGGCACAUGACACGCCCCUGGGGGCCAUCUGGCCCAAGUCCACCUGCGCGGCUGAGUGGAGGAUGCUAGGUUGCUGUGCUGUUUCUCCUACUGUCUUGCUGCCGCACCACCCCUCAGAAAAACCGGGUCGUCAGUUUCCUGCGGUUUGCACUCACCAAAUAUACUUAGCAAUUUGCAAUUCACCCGCAGGAUUAUUCCAGCCUCUGUGAUCACACACAGAAGGAUGAGCCUUCCUCGUGAGGGUUGGAGAUGGAGGGAGAAGGGAUGGAGAGUAAGGAUGGGACGGAGGUUGUGGAGCAGCAGACCAACACGCCAGAAAGGAAAAUAAUGAUCAUCUCAAUUUUUAUAUGUGGAGGCAUUGCUUUUCUUCUUUGGGGGAUUUUAAGAUUUCCCAGAAAAUUUGGAAUUCCAAGGCACCUUAGAAACAAGACAUGCCUAGAAAAUUUGACUAUGUGUCCACAAGGCUGGAACUGAAUCAAUAAUAAUUGCUUCUUUCAAUCUGAACAUGAAACAACGUGGAUCAAUGGCUGAGAAAACUGCAGAAGUUAUGGAUCUCUGGCCAGGCUCAACUCUCAGAAUGAAAUGGGAAUCUUUGAUGCAUUAUCUGGGGCCGUCUUUAUAUUGGUUUGAACUGAGCAAGCACAAUGCAAACAAAACGUGGAUGUGGGCAGAUGGAGCUACAUUCAGCAAUUGUCAAGUUAUGAAACUAGCGAAUUAUUUACAUUAAGUGGAUUUGUUGUUGCUGUCGUUGCUGAAACUAGUGAAAGAAUCGAGUUUUGUGCUAUGAGUCAUGGGAGCAAAACGUGAGUAUUUAGAAGUGGAGAGGACCACGAAGAAGGAAGCCCUGGUGACUUGAAGAAAUCAUGGAGAGUUCUCCGGAUUCCCACAAACCUAUGGGGUUUAGAUUCCAGCUAAUACUUACACGGGUCUCAGAAGGACAGAGGGCAAGGGUUAACAUCUGGCUGAUAUUAAAGUCUCUGCACCUCUUAAUAUU
rnacentral:lncRNA from 1 species